UACGAAGGGGGCGAGCGUUGUUCGGAAUCACUGGGCGUAAAGGGCGCGUAGGCGGCCCUCUUAGUCGCGUGUGAAAGCCCCGGGCUCAACCUGGGAACGGCGCGCGAAACGGGAGGGCUGGAGUUCGGGAGAGGAGAGUGGAAUUCCCAGUGUAGAGGUGAAAUUCGUAGAUAUUGGGAAGAACACCGGUGGCGAAGGCGGCUCUCUGGACCGAGACUGACGCUGAGGCGCGAAAGCUAGGGUAGCAAACGGGG
rnacentral:rRNA from 1 species